CCUACGGGAGGCAGCAGUGAGGAAUAUUGGUCAAUGGACGAGAGUCUGAACCAGCCAAGUAGCGUGAAGGAUGACUGCCCUAUGGGUUGUAAACUUCUUUUAUAAAGGAAUAAAACGAGGCACGUGUGCCUUUUUGCAUUUACUUUAUGAAUAAGGAUCGGCUAACUUCGUGCCAGCAGCCGCGGUAAUACGGAGGAUCCGAGCGUUGUCCGGAUUUGUUGGGUUUAAAGGGAGCGUAGAUGGGUUGUUAAGUCAGUUGUGAAAGUUUGCGGCUCAACCGUAAAAUUGCAAUUGAUACUGGCAGUCUUGAGUACAGUUGAGGUAGGCGGAAUUCGUGGUGUAGCGGUGAAAUGCGUAGAUAUCACGAAGAACCCCGAUUGCGAAGGCAGCUUACUAGACUGUGACUGACAUUGAUGCUCGAAAGUGUGGGUAUCAAACAGGAUUAGAUACCCUUGUAGUC
rnacentral:rRNA from 1 species